UACAGAGGGUGCGAGCGUUAAUCGGAAUUACUGGGCGUAAAGCGUGCGUAGGCGGCUAUCUAAGUCGGGGGUGAAAGCCCCGGGCUCAACCUGGGAAUUGCAUUCGAGACUGAAUAGCUAGAGUACGGUAGAGGGAAGUGGAAUUUCCGGUGUAGCGGUGAAAUGCGUAGAUAUCGGAAGGAACAUCAGUGGCGAAAGCGACUUCCUGGACCAGUACCGACGUUCAGGCACGAAAGCGUGGGGAGCAAACAGG
rnacentral:rRNA from 1 species